rnacentral:rRNA from 1 species
UACAGAGGGUGCAAGCGUUGUUCGGAAUUAUUGGGCGUAAAGCGUGCGCAGGCGGUUUUGUAAGUCUGUCGUGAAAUCCCCGGGCUUAACCUGGGAAUGGCAUUGGAAACUGGCUCGCUGGAGUGUGGCAGAGGGGGGUGGAAUUCCGGCGUGUAGCAGUGAAAUGCGUAGAGAUGCGGAGGAACACCGAUGGCGAAGGCAGCCCCCUGGGCCAACACUGACGCUCAGGCACGAAAGCGUGGGGAGCAAACAGG